GACGAACGCUGGCGGCGUGCUUAACACAUGCAAGUCGAACGUGAUUUUUGUGGAAAUUCUUUCGGGAAUGGAAAUGAAAUGAAAGUGGCGAACGGGUGAGUAACACGUGAGCAACCUACCUUACACAGGGGGAUAGCCGUUGGAAACGACGAUUAAUACCGCAUGAGACCACAGAAUCGCAUGAUAUAGGGGUCAAAGAUUUAUCGGUGUAAGAAGGGCUCGCGUCUGAUUAGCUAGUUGGAAGGGUAAAGGCCUACCAAGGCGACGAUCAGUAGCCGGUCUGAGAGGAUGAACGGCCACAUUGGAACUGAGACACGGUCCAAACUCCUACGGGAGGCGGCAGUGGGGAAUAUUGCACAAUGGGGGGAACCCUGAUGCAGCGACGCCGCGUGAGCGAAGAAGGUUUUCGAAUCGUAAAGCUCUGUCCUAUGAGAAGAUAAUGACGGUAUCAUAGGAGGAAGCCCCGGCUAAAUACGUG
rnacentral:rRNA from 1 species